CAAAAUGAAAUGAUGCACAAAUUAGCAGGCCAAAUUUUAAAAUACAAGGUAAGCCAAAUGGGCACAAAUUGAAGACUCGCGCAAGAGGGGGAUCUAACGUGCAAAUCUUCCAUUUAAUAAAAUGGUGCAAAUCCAUUCCACCUUUUGGGCCAAUGCGCAGACCUUUAUGCUGUAAACAGCGCCACUUGGCUUUGUGAAUGAUUUUAAACCCCCUUUCCUUCAAACAUAACCUAAUUUCAACCAUUUUUUAGAAGUAGCAGCAGCCAUUAACUCCCAAAUGAUAGCGUUUCAUUUGGCUAACAGACGACGAGCCAAUAUUGGACUAAUGGCCGACGACAUGCGAUUAACAACCCAACCUUUGCCCGUGAAGAUUGCAAUCAUGGAGAUCUGGCUCAAUUGUACGGAGAAGAUGACCCGGGGAUCUCGCGUGGACAACCAUCCCUCUGGUAUUCUUCCAGUAUAUUCCAGGAGCUGCUGCUGAAACUCUCCUUCUUUUGUGUUCCUUUGGGUUUGGGCUAGGAUAUGGAUUCAUUAAAGUUGGGUUUUAGGACCUUAUGGGUUAAGUGUUUAUUGGGCUAAGUGUUUAUUUAUGUAAUUUAAAAAAAUUGUAAAUGGACUUUUGGACUAUUUAAUCCUGGACUGUAUUUAUUUAUUUGGGUUUAUUUAAAUAAAUUAAAUGGGCCCGGGUAAAAUUGGUAGACUA